GCCCUAUGCUGGAUAAUAACCUCGGGAAACUGAGAAUAAUGAUCCAUAGUUCACUACGCCUGGAACGGUGAGUGGAUGAAAGCUCCGGCGGCAUAGGAUGGGCCUGCGGCGUAUCAGGUUGUAGGGGGUGUAACGUACCCUCUAGCCCUCUACGCGUACGGGUGUUGGGAGACAUAGCCCGGAGAUGGAUUCUGAGACACGAAUCCAGACCCUACGGGGUGCAGCAGGCGCGAAAACUUGGCAAUGCGAGAAAUCGUGACCAGGGAACUCCAAGUGCAUCGGGUAAGACCGGUGCUUUUCUUGACUCUAAAUAGGUCUUGGAAUAAGGGGUGGGUAAGGACGGUGCCAGCCGCCGCGGUAAUACCGGCGCCUCAAGUGGUAGUCGCUUUUAUUGGGCCUAAAACGUCCGUAGCCGGUCUGAUACAUUCGUGGGUAAAUCAACCAGCUCAACUGGUUGAAUUCUGCGAGGACGGUCAGACUUGGGACCGGGAGAGGUGUGGGGUACGCUCAGGGUAGGGGUAAAAUCCUGUCAUCCUGAGCGGACCACCUGUUGCGAAGGCGCCACACUAGAACGGAUCCGACGGUCAGGGACGAAGCCUAGGGGCACGAACCGGAUUAGAUACCCGGGUAGUCCUAGGUGUAAACGCUGUGGACUUGAUGUUGGGGGUGCUCCGAGCACUCUCAGUGUCGAAGCGAAGGUGAUAAGUCCACUACC
rnacentral:rRNA from 1 species